CUAUUUAUAUAGUUUAAAAAACGUUACUUUUUCAUUGUAAAAUUAAAUAUUUAUAUUUUAUAAAUA
rnacentral:tRNA from 2 species